rnacentral:rRNA from 1 species
CUACGGGUGGCAGCAGUGAGGAAUAUUGCACAAUGGGGGGAACCCUGAUGCAGCAACGCCGCGUGGAGGAUGACGCAUUUCGGUGUGUAAACUCCUUUUAUAUGUCAAGAAAAUGACGGUAGCAUAUGAAUAAGCACCGGCUAACUCCGUGCCAGCAGCCGCGGUAAUACGGAGGGUGCAAGCGUUACUCGGAAUCACUGGGCGUAAAGGACGCGUAGGCGGGUUGGAAAGUCAGGUGUGAAAUCCUACAGCUUAACUGUAGAACUGCACUUGAAACUUCUAAUCUAGAGUAUGGGAGGGGGAGAUGGAAUUAGUGGUGUAGGGGGAAAAUCCGUAGAUAUCUAUAGGAAUACCUAAAGCGAAGUCGAUCUCCUGGAACAUUACUGACGCUAAGGCGUGAAAGCGUGGGAUGCAAACAGGAUUAGAUACCCUCGUAGUC